rnacentral:rRNA from 1 species
CCUACGGGGGGCUGCAGUGGGGAAUUUUGGACAAUGGGGGCAACCCUGAUCCAGCCAUUCCGCGUGAGUGAAGAAGGCCUUCGGGUUGUAAAGCUCUUUUGUCGGGGACGAAACGGUUACAGCUAAUAUCUGUGACUACUGACGGUACCCGAAGAAUAAGCACCGGCUAACUACGUGCCAGCAGCCGCGGUAAUACGUAGGGUGCAAGCGUUAAUCGGAAUUACUGGGCGUAAAGCGUGCGCAGGCGGUUGUGUAAGCCAGAUGUGAAAUCCCCG